ensembl:snRNA U6 U6 spliceosomal RNA
GUGCUUGUUUCAGCAGCACAUAUACUAAAAUUGGAAUGAUGUAGAGAAGAUUAGCAUGGCCCCUGUGCAAGGAUGACAUGCAAAUUUGUGAAGUGUUCCACAGUUUU